UACGGAGGGAGCUAGCGUUGUUCGGAAUUACUGGGCGUAAAGCGCACGUAGGCGGCUUUGUAAGUUAGAGGUGAAAGCCCGGGGCUCAACUCCGGAACUGCCUUUAAGACUGCAUCGCUUGAAUCCAGGAGAGGUGAGUGGAAUUCCGAGUGUAGAGGUGAAAUUCGUGGAUAUUCGGAAGAACACCAGUGGCGAAGGCGGCUCACUGGACUGGUAUUGACGCGUGAGG
rnacentral:rRNA from 1 species